rnacentral:lncRNA from 10 species
CAAGGACAUCAGAGUAAGGAAGUGAAGUUGCUGUCUUCCUUCUUCUCUGCUGCUGUCCUUCUUUCUGUGCUCAAUCCCCGCCUUCCUGCCUCCAUCAAACGGAUCCUUGCCAUUGACUUCUAAGCAUGUUCAAUUUUUCCCAUCAAAAGCUUCUCCCAUAUUGAGAAAAAUCAAGAACUCUGCAAACCAUGCUAAGGAAGUAUCUAACUGUUCCAAUCAAUACAUGUGUUCCUGUUUAUGAACCCAGCCUAAAUGCUGAUGGAGACUGAAUGAUUAGGCUUUUGUCUUUCAGUGCUGUCUGGAUAUCUAUCAACAAAACAGACGAUUUUACAACUUAACAUCAUGAAUGACAUCUAUGAUGGAAACUUUCCCUUUUGUGUUAACACAAGACUGUUAAUGAUAAAUCAAGAUAAAUUAAAUAAAAGAAAGUCAAAAGAAAAGAAAAGA